GUUUCUCCUGGAGAUGCUCAUCUGCCCUUUCGCUGAGUGAUUAACCCGUGACAGGAGCUGGCUGUCUUCUGCCUCUUUCCGGCGUGGCCGUAGCCUUGCGGAACGAGGCGAGGGUAAACUGCCGGCAACUACCAGUCACUCCUCCCUGGGUCUGCGCUGCCGUUUUGGCUCUACUACCGUUUUGGCUCUACUACCGUUUUGGCUCCAUUAUUGUAUCGGCUGUAUUGCUGUUUUGGCCUGAUGUGGAGUUUGUUCCUUCUUUUUUUCCUGUGUUGUUUUUUUUUCCUUUAUUGCAUUGAUGAGUUUAUUAUAUUGUCUUUUUCUUUUUUUUCUUUCUUUAGGUCAAUGUUUGUUUAGUUCACGCCAGUUAUACUAACCUUUGGGCUUGUUUUAUUAAUUGAUAUUUCUCUUGUUGUCAGGUGUCGUGGGCUCCCUGUGGCCGUUAAUCCCUGGUGGUGGUGUGUUCUCCACGGUCCCCCCUUUUUUGGUUUUGUGUGUGUGUGAGUGUGUAGUUUCACGGGUGAUUCUGUCGAGGACCCCCCCCCCCCUCUUUGUCUUGUGGUUGUCCUGUUGCAUGGUAGCCCCGGCCAGCUUUAUUCGCCCCUUGGUUUGUUUUAUUGUGUGUUCAACUGGUGUGACUGUGUUUGAAUUGUAUUUUGUCUAUUUUAUGUGUUAAUAAAUUCUUUGUUGUGGAA